AUGGCAGCAGCUCACUAAAAAGCCUGCUCAGGUUUCUUCUCUCAUGCUACACGUUCAAUGACCCUGAGACUGAAAGUUGACUCAGUAACUCUCAGCAUAUUCAAAGAGAGAACAUUUGCAUUGAACUUAUUAACUAAGAAAACUAAAAGAUAUAUGUAUGUUCAGAAGAAUAAACCAUGCUGCAAAAAGGCCUUUACACGUCAUUUGUACUAUGCCUGCAUUGUACGGCGACCAAUGCACAGAAGGGUUUAUGUGCUAACAUUAUGUACAGCCAACUGCUUGGCUGUUAUUUACAUAUCGUAAAAUGUGUGUUACAUUAUAACAUUAAUCCAUAUGAUUUAUAGAGCAAUCCGAUUUUCUCUGCGCCGCCUCAGCGGAAUUCAUUCUGAUAUGAAAUGCCCAAUUAAAUUGAACACAAACUAAUGUUUUGUCCCCUUUCAGAACAAUGUGGCAGAAAUCCAAUCAACCGCCUCUCUUUAUAAUCAGUGAUGGCGAAUAGCAGUCACGUGACCGCGUGGCCUCGUGGUGUAUUUGAGCUGAACACAGUGAUGUGUGACUCCCUCACAGCGAGGAGGCUCGCCGCUGACAUGUUUACCACAGUCGUUUAUGUGUUGCUUCUUUUACACUCAGGUCUUGCGGUUGUAGUCCUUCAGUCUGGAGAUCAAACGUCCCACCCGGGUCACGCGGUGAGCUUCGUGUGCAACAUGGGUCAAGGGGUCAGCAUGGGCAGCUACACCAUGCUCUGGUACCGACAAACCCACCGUGGAGCUCCGCUGGACUUCCUCUCCAAGGAAUACGACCAGACCACGGGGCACUUCCAGUCGUCCAUCGACACAUCCAGAAACAACUUCUCUCUUCAAAUUACUGAGGUGCUCCUGAAUGACAGCAGUACCUACUACUGUGCUGCCAGUCACAGUGAUGCACAGGGACCAGAUGUUCAUACUAAUAUCAAGUCUACACGGGGGCCACAGAUGGCUCACAGGCAGGAAGGAGGUGUUGGUUCUGUGGUUUUCUAUGAAAUUGGGGGAACAAGAAAGAAUAAAUGACACUGAUCCAGUAUGGUGAGACGCACCAGCGGUAAUUCAUAUAUAUAUAUAUAUAUUUAUACACACACACGGUGUCAAAUAUCACAACAAUUAUAUUGUUUGCAAUAAAUAGAUCUUAAAGUCUUGUUAUGCAUAUGAGGUUUGCAUACUAAAGGAAAAUCAGUUGCUUCUUGAAUUGGGAAAUGAAAAGAGAAUUAUAUCCGACAUUCUUUAAUUAGAACAUUUAACUAAACACAAAAAGGAAAUAAAAAUGAAACAUGCAGUUUAUUGGGCAAAUGAACAUAAAAAUGGCAUAUUGUGAAACCCUAAUAUGUACUUGGGAGUAGGA